UACGUAGGGUGCAAGCGUUGUCCGGAAUUAUUGGGCGUAAAGAGCUCGUAGGCGGUCUGUCGCGUCGGCUGUGAAAACCGGAGGCUCAACCCCGGGCCUGCAGCCGAUACGGGCAGCUAGAAUUCGGUAGGGGAGACUGGAAUUCCUGGUGUAGCGGUGAAAUGCGCAGAUAUCAGGAGGAACACCGGUGGCGAAGGCGGGUCUCUGGGCCGAAAUUGACGCUGAGGAGCGAAAGCGUGGGGAGCAAACAGG
rnacentral:rRNA from 1 species